rnacentral:rRNA from 1 species
UACGGAGGGUGCGAACGUUAAUCGGAAUCACUGGGCGUAAAGCGCGCGUAGGCGGUCUGUUAAGUGGGAUGUGAAAUCCCGGGCUUAACCUGGGAAUUGCAUUUCAAACUGGCCGACUAGAGUACGGUAGAGGGAGGUAGAAUUUCCUGUGUAGCGGUGAAAUGCGUAGAUAUCGGGAGGAACACCUGAGGCGAAGGCGGCUACUGGCCGAUACUGACGCUGAUGCGCGAAAGCCAGGGAGCGAACGGGAU